rnacentral:lncRNA from 1 species
UCUUUCAAAAUCGAUUUUCUCAAGUUAAAAUUAAGAUGGUUUUGGAACAUAUUCUAUUUAAGUUCAUUGAGUCAUUUAAUGUUCAUUAAUCCCCCUUCAAAGUUUAUAUUUAGUUAGCUAGAGAUAGGAUAGGACGAAACCAUUUUCCUCCAAAGGUAGGUUAAGGGCGGUUGAGUAAUAAUACUGUUGCAAAUUUGAUUAGACUCAAAGAAAAACCGACUGAUGCAAUUUUAAUUCUGUUCAAACUGCAUAAUUUAUUCAGAUACUGAAACGGCUUUAUAAGUCUUUACAAAAAGAAGCUGACUAACAAAUAGUGUGCAUAGGGGACGAAAAGAUAACAAAUAGUCUUGAUAUGACAGAUUUUGGAAGGAUGCCAUACUUUUUGGGAAUUGAAGUUAUACAAAAUGAAGCAGGCAUCUUCAUCUGCCAACGAAGGUAUGCACAUGAGGUACUAGCUCGAUUCAAUAUGUUAGACAACGUUUAACCCUUAUUGUACCUUGAUACUUCUACUGCAUGGACCUUCAGAUUGCUUGUGACAUAUUUUUCGAUCAAUUGCCUGGAACAGGAAAUUCUUCACCUUUAGAUCCUGAAGAUGUGUGUCUGCUACAGCUUUCCUUUGAGCCUCAGUUGGUGCCGCGUUCAGCGUUGGAAUUUCGUCUUCCAC